CCUACGGGAGGCAGCAGUGAGGAAUAUUGGUCAAUGGGCGCGAGCCUGAACCAGCCAAGUCGCGUGAGGGAAGACGGUCCUAUGGAUUGUAAACCUCUUUUGUCGGGGAGCAAAAGACGCCACGCGUGGCGUUCCGAGAGUACCCGAAGAAAAAGCAUCGGCUAACUCCGUGCCAGCCGCCGCGGUAAUACGGAGGAGGCGAGCGUUAUCCGGAUUUAUUGGGUUUAAAGGGUGCGCAGGCGGAAGAUCAAGUCAGCGGUAAAAUUGAGGGGCUCAACCUCGUCGAGCCGUUGAAACUGGUUUUCUUGAGUGGGUGAGAAGUAUGCGGAAGGCGUGGUGUAGCGGUGAAAUGCAUAGAUAUCACGCAGAACUCCGAUUGCGAAGGCAGCAUACCGGCGCUCAACUGACGCUCAUGCACGAAAGUGUGGGUAUCGAACAGGAUUAGAUACCCUAGUAGUC
rnacentral:rRNA from 1 species